rnacentral:misc_RNA from 1 species
CACUGGAAAAAACUAUUAUAAUCUUGCAAAAAAAUUUGAGUGUGUCCUUUAGCAACAAGUCAAGCUUUUAGGUGAUCAAAUUUUUCAUGAUGACGAACCUUAUUUGUAUAAAUCCAACAAAAACCAACAGUAGACUUUCGAUGAGGCAAGGGAAUUAAAUCCUAGUACUAUUAGAAUGAAGAUUAGUAAUUUCCUCAACCAUUGCCUUGUGCCUCCUAGGAUGAGAUAAUGCUUCCUUAAUGGUUUUUGGAACUUGGAUAGAGUAAAAUUUGGAACAAAAGCAUAAUAGGGUGAAGACCAAGGAUAAUAAUUAAAGAGAUUGUAAAUGGGAUAAGGAUUAUGAUAAGUACAAAUACCUUUAUGAAGAGCAAUGAGUAGAGUAGCUGCUUCUGCUAGAGGCAUAACCAGUGUAAGUGAUGAUGUUAACAUAAGAGAUAAGUAACCUAGGGCAUUUUGUGGACUUGUAUCAUCAAGAAAAGCAUCAUUCAUGUUAGUUUUAGGAUUUGGAUGAGGUAGUUGUAAAUAGACCUAAAGAGAAGAUGGAAUAGCAUUUGGAGUAGGAAUAAGAGGAACUAGGAGAGCUUUAGAGAUGAAGUUUUGGUUUAUUGCUUAGGUGAGAAGUUCGAAGAUGUUUUAAGAAGGUUACAUCUACUGAUAUGAAAUAUUUUUUUGUGGUUGGCUUAUAAAAUUUGUAACCUUUCUAAAGGUGAGAAUAUCCUAGAAAAAUACAUUUAACAGAUUUUGGUUGAAACUUGUCUUUCCAGGAGCAAGAUUAUGAAUAAGCAAGUACAACCAAACACACAAGGAGAAAGAUGAUAUGGAUUGUGAUAUGGAAACAAACAAGAAUGAACACCCUAAUUCUAUAAAACAGAAGAAGACAUAUGAUUAAUUAACAAGCAGUAAGAACAUCCUCCCAAAAAUGAAAUGGAACAUGAUGAUGCAUGAGUAAAGUACAGACUGUUUCAAUAAGUUGCCAAUCCUUAUGUUUAGCUACUCUAUUUUAUUGAGGGGUACGAGCACAAGAAAUUUGAUAAAUGAUUCCUUAAGAAGAUAUGAAAUAUUGAGAAGGAAGAGAAAAAUAUUCUCAUGUAUUGUUAAUACAUAACACUAAUGGAAACACCAAAUUGAAUAUGUAUCUUAGCUAGGGGCGCAAAUGAACUGAGUCGAGUUGAGCUUUAAAGAGCUCAGGCUUAGUUCAUUAAAAUAUUAUUUUGAGCAAUUUGCCAGUAGCUUGGCUCAUUUACAUCCCUAAUUAGUUUAAGGUUUAGAGUUAUGAAGUUCAAACUAUGUAUUUUUU